rnacentral:misc_RNA from 1 species
GAAAUGCGAUAAGUAAUGUGAAUUGCAGAAUUCAGUGAAUCAUCGAAUCUUUGAACGCACAUUGCGUCCGCCAGCACUCUGGCGGGCAUGCCUGUUCGAGCGUCAUUUCAACCCUCAGAACCCCUUGCGGGAUCUGGCGUUGGGGAUUGGCAUCCAGCCAGCCCCGAAAUCUAGUGGCGGUCCCUCCGCGACCUCCCCUGUGCAGUAGCGAUACCUCGCAGCGGGACAGCGGUCUGACCACGCCGUAAAACCCCCAACUUCUCAAGGUUGACCUCGAAUCAGGUAGGAAUACCCGCUGAACUUAAGC